CUCGUAGGUGGAAUAGUAAGUUGGAUGUGAAAUACCCGGGCUUAACCUGGGGGUGUCAUUCAAAACUGCUAAUCUAGAGUACAGUAGAGGGAAGUGGAAUUUCCGGUGUAGCGGUGAAAUGCGUAGAUAUCGGAAGGAACACCAGUGGCGAAGGCGACUUUCUGGACUGAUACUGACACUGAGGGGCGAAAGCGUGGGUAGCGAACA
rnacentral:rRNA from 1 species